AUCAAAUAUAUCGCUCUAAUGAUGGCCCAAAAAGAUUGGACUAAACGAUUUUGUGAGUUCGACCAUAGAUUUGCAGAAGCAUCAAUGCAUGUAUGCAUGAGUGUGUGUGUGUGUGUGUGUGUGUUUAUAAAUACUGUACUGGGUCGGUUUAAGCUUUGAAUGGGUGUGUUUGUGUGUGUUGACCAAAAGGGAGCUAUUUUAUCGCGCUUGUAUAUAUGGCAAUGUCUUUGAAUGCACACUGUGGAAUCGUGCGGAAAAUGGGAAAAAUACAUUUAGGAGGAAAAAGGGUAUGAAGAGGGAAGAAAAUAAAAACAAGGGUAUUAACGACCCUGCGGCUGCUGCUACGCGUGUGUGAGGCCAUAGAGUUGAAGCGGCUGAGAGCUGAAGAUGGUGCUGCCUACUCAGCCAUUGUUAAGGACUGUCGAGUCACUCGUGUGCGAGUGUUCAGCAUUCUGUCGCCCCCAGUUAAAUUUUACAGCUCAAGCAAGACACUAAAAGGCAUCGCAUAUGACAAAGGCACAAGGACAACAACAUGCCACCGACACCUCCUACUCCACCGCCACCUCCACCUACACCACCGCGUCUACUGUUACCGCCCAGCCACAGAUGAAAGAUUAAAGCACAUCUUAAUGCGAACCGACGCUGGGAAAUGUGAAACAAGCGCGUAGGCCGUGAAAGUUUCCGUUAUCAACGCGACCCAAGGCGCCAGUCGCAUUCGCAGAGCGCGAGCCAAGUACGGCUGUUCGUCCUAGGUCGCCUGACUAUGAUUAGAUGGGCGGGUCCUGACAUAUGUAUACCACACCAAAGUGUACGUGUGUUUUAUCUAUCUAAAAAUAUUAAAAGAAAAUAAAGAGAAACAGAAUCAAAAUACA